GUUCCCUUUGAGAUUCCUGAGGGCUACAGCCUGGGCCUGCCGUCUAUGGGGCAGACUUUCUAUGUCCUUGGAGGGGCAGCUCCAUUGUUUUGCCAACUGGUCUGGUGACUCACACUGGGAAGCUUGUAGCAAGCCCCAUUUUUGGAGAAACCAGGAAAUCUCUUUGGAGAGACAAACAAGCCACUUCAGCGCUCUGCACUCGAAAAAGCUUGCCUGCUACUUUCUGCCUUAUCAUUCAGCGGAGAUAGGAAGCUCAGCAAGCUUGGAAACAUUGUAAAGAUUUACUUAAAAGCUCUGCUAGAAGACACUGUUCCUGUCCACGCGGUUUGGAAAGCUAGAGAGUCCGGAGUAAAAGAACCUAGCCUCAGCUUUAGGAAAGUGUCUGACUCUUAGAAGACUAUGUUAGAAAGAAGAUGGGUACAGACUAUAUCCAAAGAUCGUGCCUGCACCCUGGCUGCUCUCAAAGAUGGGCUCGCCUGGAAAUGACCAAGACAGCCAUCUGCCAAGCACCCAUUAUUUGCAAAGCAUGGGGUCAGACUAACUCCAUCUUUUUAAAUCUCAUCUUCAUAAAGACUCUUCAAAUCAGUAGCGUCAUCCCUUGAAGUAAGUCAAGUGGUUUUGAAUCAUAAAUUCCAUACUUAGACACACACCAAACAGAAAGGAAGUCGCAAGUGGGAGAGCCAUGUCCUUGUUAGCAUCAUGGUUUGUAAUAGCCCUGGACUGGAGACCACCCACAUUCCCGUUAACAGGAAGAUGGAUUAAAUAAGCUAUGAUAUACUCAGGCUGUGGAAUAUUGCACAGGAUGGAGGUAUAAAAGUGUGGUGGAACAUAUCUUUAAUCCCAGCACUCUGAAGGCAGAGGCGGGCACAUCUCUGAGUUCGAGGCCAGUCUGGUCUACAGAGCAAGUUCCAGAACAGAUAGGGCUACACAGAGAAACCCUAUCUCAGAAAACAAAACCAAAACAAAACCAAAUGCUAUGGAUGACACCACCCUUGGUUUUACCUACAGUGGAGUGAACGUCUCUAGACAGAGAACUCUUCCCAUAGGACUCUAUAAAACCAGAUGAAACUAAACUCUGAGGUUGGGAGUUGAGGUAGGUGUUAGCCCUGGGGAGGAAGCUUGGCUGGGUGCUGUGGUACUGUCAAUGUGUUCAAUGUCCUGAUCACUCUGGUCAGUCACCCAACUCUGUCUACACGUAUGUACUGUGCACACGUCUGCAUGGCUUUUGUUGCUGUAAAAGCUGUAUGGGGGAAGGCUCACUUUGCGAAGUACAAAUCCAGUACGAAAAAGAAUAAAAAACAAAAGAAGGUA